rnacentral:tRNA from 1 species
GGCGGCAUGGCUCAGAUGGUUAGAGCACGCGGUUCAUACCCGCGAUGUCACUGGUUCGAUUCCAGUUGCCGCCA